GAGAAAUACUGGGUGAUUUUCAACUGUUCGGGCUUUUUUUCUACUGUUGAUAGUUCCAGAAUAUCAAGCCCCUGAGUCAGGCUCAUAGAACAAUCCUUGCUGCUGACCCGUAUGGACUGGUGAAUUUUGCCAUAAACAAUUUAACAGUUACCCUGGUAACGGAUUCUGCGAAGUAAUGGGAUCACAGGCAUUAGAGAAGAGGAAAGGCUAGCUACCAGAGAAAACCAUCUGCUGGCUGAUGUUCCUGGGGCUGUUUGCUCAAUGGAUGCUUCUCAGCCUGACAGUCAUUGUACUUCUAUGCA